AAUUGAUGGUUAGGACAAUGUAACAAUUUAUAUUUGAAACUUAACCAUGCUUCAUGCAAUGGUUCACCACUGUCUUGGUAUAAGUUUGUGAUCUCAUCGCUCAAUU